UACAGAGGUCUCAAGCGUUGUUCGGAAUUACUGGGCGUAAAGGGUGCGCAGGCCGCGCGGGCAGUCAAAUGUGAAAUUCUGUGGCUCAACCUCAGAAUUGCGCUUGAUACUUCCGCGCUAGAACCUUGGAGAGGGAUCUGGAAUUUUCGGUGUAGCAGUGAAAUGCGUGGAUAUCGAAAAGAACACUUAGGGCGUAGGCAAGAUCCUGAACAAGUGUUGACGCUCAUGCACGAAGGCUAGGGUAGCGAACGGG
rnacentral:rRNA from 1 species